AUGACGGCCGCUGGUGUCCCCGCCGCUGCCACGGGCCCUCGCUGCCGAGGCGCCCGUCUUCGUGCGGCGGCUGCGCGUGGUGCGGUGCAUGGCCAAGGAGCGACGGGUGCGAAUGGUGGCAAAGCAGAUCCAGCGGGAGCUGGUGGACAUGCUGACCCGCGACCCCGUCAUGCAGCGCGCCAUCCUCCCCGAGGCCGCCCUCGGCGCCGGCCGCUACCUCUCCUUCCCCACCACCAUCGCUGA
rnacentral:rRNA from 1 species